AUCGGAUACUCAUACAGCGAUUUUGACUAAUAAACAAAAUAAAUUGUCCCAGAAUGAGCAAAGCGUGCGAAGCCGUCGUUAAUAAUUAUAAACCAGUCCAUGAGCUAAAAAAUAGCACAGCUGGGAAACCCAAGUUAUGACCUCGGAUUAAAUUACGGUCUUGUAAACAAUUUCAGAGAUUUGUGAGUAGAUUAUUGAUUUGUGCUUCGAAUUUGCGGAUAAUUUUUUGGCAGUUUUACUUCAAUUUUCAUACGUGCAUGCACGCACCUAGUUGUAAUUUCAUGCGUGAUUUUUGUAAAUUAUACGGAAUUCACAUUUGUGCGUGAAUGGGAACACUGACUAUCAUUUAGUUUUUUACCAUCUGAUUCAUUUUUAUAAAAAUAUCUAAAAAGGUCUAUUUUAUGUAUGUGAUGUAUCAUGUAUAUUUAUCAUGUCUAAUCAUUUUUUUAUUGUAGCUGUUUUAUCUUUGUUGAUCUUAUACUUUAUGUUUAUAUACAGUCGGUUAUAAAAGCUCCUAGAGCUUAUGUUGUACUGUUGAAAACUUGCCGACUUGAAACAAAACUUAUCUUAUCAAUGUGUACGAAGAGGUAUAAGAUAAGUGUCCACUCGGCCCUAAACCAACUCGGUCCGCAACAAAAAAGAAAUCACUUUAGUUGAUGAACAUCCAGCGGUAGAUCACAUAUACUAAAAAUAAUUGAAAAGAUCUGUAUGUUUUAUUAUCUUUGUUAAGAUGAGAUGUUGUGAUUAAUACAACAGGGUCAGGGACCAUCAACCGCUGACACUUUUUGAACAUUUUUCUGUACAGGUUUUAUAAGUUUUAACUUAGAGACCAAAACAAUUGACAAGGUUCAGCUAGGUUCUUCCCCUAACUAACAAACUUGUUUGUCUGAUUGUAUUGACUUUUAUAUCUGAGGCUCGACGAGGAGGUAUCAAAAUUACCUCAAUUGUCUACACUACAGCACCAUGUGUCCGGACAUUUAUGUACAUGAUGUUAUUUAAUUCAGAUAACAGCUUGGGUGUUUUAAUUUUUAACAUGAUAGACAAUGAUUCAGAAACAAAUGCUGAAGUUUUGGAAAUUCUAUUGUUUACUCUUCAAAUGAUUAUAGAUGGUAUAUGAGGUCAGGCAUUGUUUUCUUGACCCCCCAAAUUUCAACGUCAACAUUCUUGAAAUAGCCAUUAAAAUUAUAUUACCAUUUACGGUGGUUGAAAUAAAUUUAUUUAUUUAUUUUUAGAAUGAAACAUGCAUUUAUUGUUGAUAAAAAAAGUGACAACCACUGAACAAAGAAAAUACUAAAUUAAGCAUUUUCAGGGCUGUCCGGGUUUGGUGGUUGUCCGGUUUUGGUGGUCCCCAACCAGUAGCUUAAACAUUUAUGAACUGUAAAUUCUUCCCUCACACACUUUCAUCAAAUAACAAUUUCAAUUAGAAAAGGUAUAUAAAUUAUGACAUGAAAACGUAAAACGACACAUGAAACAAAGAUAAUUCAACAUAGAGCAACUUUACCGCCGGAUAUUGCUCGAUAUUACGAGGACUUUUAUCCCAUUUCAAGACUAUGAACAAAGGUAAAUUCAAGGUAAACGUUCAAUCUGACAACAAUAAAAUUUCAGAUGACAGUGCAUUUUGAGAAUAAAUAAACAUGUCAGUUUACCGAGUAUUGCUUUGGAGUUGCUCGCCGGUGUCACUAGUAUGCUUUUUAAUGUAACGAGUAUUGGUUAUUAAUAUCAAGUAAAUGUGAGAAGUAAUCACAGAGUAUUUACCACAUUUAACCUUAAAUAUUUCUUAUUGUCACAAUGUGUAUACUUAUUGACAUAUGUGCAGAAUAUGCAGAUUUUGGAGGUACUGUACUGAAUAAUACAUACCCAGCAAACAUGCAUAUAUGGGACCUAUAUGGGCUAUAUCUAGGCAAGCUAAUGGGUAUGCCCAUAUCGGACCUAUAUGGAUCCAAUAUUGGCAAGUCCAUUUGGGUACGCCUAUAUAUUAGACCUAUAUGGGUACCAUAUUCCAGCACUUUAAGGAAAAACAAUUUUUCUUUUAUUUAUUUCUUUAGAACUCGUUUACUUUGAGCUAUAGUGUGACCACCUUGGCAUAAAUUGCUAUUAUCCUAUAUAAAAUCGUAGCAUUAUUUGAAACAUUUAUACAAUGCCUGCUGCACAGUAAAUGGGCCAAUUGUGUUAGCAUCUAAGUCAAAAAUUAAAGUUAAACAUACAAGACAAUAUUUGCUCUUUUUAAGUACCUUAGGGUGUCUAUAACAAUAUUUUUGGAAUGAAAGGAUAACUUUUUGAAUACCUUUUUCAAAAUAUUACAUCUCUUGCGGACUGUGCGGGUAGGGGACGGAUGUUACAAAGAUAUACUAAAAGUCUGAAUAUCUUACAGUUUAUAAUAAAAAUUGUAUUAUUUCUCUUUAUUUUAUUAAAAUAUUAUGUCUUCUGAUAAAUGUUACAAAAAAAAUCCAGAGAAUUCAUCUUGGAUAUAAAAAUAUUUGCUUUCAAAUUUUCAGUAUUUUUCACACAAAAUUAAAUUUUCAAACAUGUUAGAAACAGAAAGAAAAAAACAAGGAUAGGUACACCAAAUCAUACUUAAAUCAAAUAUGCAAACACAUUUCUUAUAAAACAGUAGAAAUUAUAGGACUUUGUUAUGUAUAUUUCUUGUCAGAUAAUCCAAAAAUGAAUUGUAUCAGGGGGACGGAUGUUACAUUUUUGGGGGGACGGACGUUACAAUCGAUGUUUAAAGCUCUUAGUUCAUACUUUUUUUUGGUUUUAUUUUAAAGUAAUGAAAUUUAUAAGAGUAUAUGCUUUGUACAGUACAAUAAAUGUAAAACAAUUGAACAAAUUAUGGAAAAAAUGUAGAAAUAUACCUGACAAUUAUGUAGUUUCUUACUAUUUGUGUUUCACAAUGAAAAGUUGCAUUGACUUAGUUUUCUUCUAUUUAUCUUACAUUUGAAUGAACAUUGAAAUGUUUGGAAUAUAAUAAAAACAUUGCUAAUUAAAUAAAAGAAUCUUUGUUUCCAGAUAAUGCAUUAACGUUAAAGAGAUAAUGUCAUACCAACGGUACCUUUCUAUACAUAAAAUUAUUUACAAAUUACUUAAGUUAAAAAAUAAGAUAUAUAUUUGUAAAAGAUAUGAUACAGUGUGAAGUAAAUAAGAAGUUUUCAGACUGAAACAUAAUGCAAGCUUGAAUUUCUCAUUACUAAAUAAUUAAAAAUUUUCAUUAAAAAUUAUAAGAUUUUAAAUUGUUGCAAUUAAGUUCUAUCAAUUUGAUGAAAUUUUAAGUAAAUUAAUAUGGAAUGUUAGCAGCAUUAUCCAAAGAUUUCAUUAUGAUUCAGUAUCAUAAUCUCAUUAUUUCUAACUUUUAAUAAUUCUCUGUGUAAAUAUUUCAGUGUACAUGAACUGCUUAACUUAUUAUAUAAACUAAUUUGUCAUUCAAUAAAAUUUAUAGGUGCAAAAUAAUUUUUACAGAAUAAUUUUCACAAUUAUCCCAACUUUUUCAUUACAGGAAUCCUUUACUUACAAGUUUCUUUCACUUUAUUAACAAAAAUUAAAUGGGUCAAAUUGUAUGAAAAUGUGCUUGAGAUUUUUUUGGGGAAAAAAAUUUAAAAAUUUUAAUCUGGGUGUUGAAUUAUAUUUCUUUGUUUAUUUUUCAUUGACUACAUAUUUAGCCUAUAAAUUUUUGAAGUUCAAUAAAUCCUUUGACUAAAUUGAUCUUCAACUUUAAUACUUAAUGACAGACAUUCUUGAAUAAGAUAGGUAGUCCCUCCCACUGUUCUUAAGCAUAAUAUAUAUCACCCUUAAUUGGCACCCCUACUGUUUUGUAAUACGAUAUAUCACACUUCCCAAUAUACAAUAUACACAGCUCCCAAUAUACAGAUAAAGUGCCAGUCCCUUCUGUGUGUAUAGAGUUAGGAUCCAUAUCCCACUGUUUUAUGAGGGGCUGGGAUACAUGGUUUGUAAACUAUUUAAGGCUAAAGAAUUUAUGUUUAAACAAUUGACCAAUUUUAAUCACAAAGAUACUUUCAACAUCUCUAUCGUUUGCACCUUUUUCUAUAUAUCCUGUUAUGGAUUUUGUGUUUGUUUCUUCUAAUUUUUUUUAAAUUGUAUUUUAUUUGUUGUGUGAAACAUUCCUAUACAGUUGCAAAGCUUACUACUUCUCUAUCAUGCAUCAUAAGAACAAGAUAAGUUUUGUAUUACUGUAAAAAGAAUUUUUAGUUCAAUUCUGUAACAUCCGUCCCCUUCUGUACUCUUAGUUUGUAAACACAGGAUGACAAAAGAUUAUAUUUGUUAUAAAUUCAUAUAAGCUUAAAUAUUAUCUUAAUAAACUCAUUGGUCCACUUGAGGUUAAAAAAUAACAUAUAAAUUUUAUUUGAAAGUAAAUAAUUUUGAUUUCAGAGCAAAAAAUACUGAUUUUUUUUCAAAAUUAAGGAAUUUAGUGUUCACAAAUAUUUUUUUUCUCCAUAAAUACAUCAUUUCAGUGCUUUAUUUCUGUUUUUUCUUCAUUUUUCAAUGUAACUUUGGUGUUUUAGUGUAAAAUUCCCUUUUCAGUUACAGUUUAUAUGAGAUUUAAUAAGCACCUUAUAUAGGGGGACGGAUGUUGCGGGGACGGAUGUUACAGACAACUUUUACAUUAUUGUAUUUCUUUUCUCAUAAACAUAGAAAUUGGCAAUUUUUGUAACAUUUUCAUUGUAAGGCUAUCAUUUAAAGCACCAGAAACAUUGUUUUUUAUGAGUAUUGUUUUAAAAUUGGAUAUUUUAUGAGAGGGGGACGGAUGUUACAGUUUUUUCAUCACAAAUUUUUUUUUACCACUAUAAUGCCUACUAUGGUAAAAAUGUUUGAAAAUUUGAAUUGAAAGCACUUAACAUAUGUUUUUAAUUCAUAUUUCAUUAGAUUGAGACAAUUAAGUACUAUUUUAUUUGUAACUGCUUAAAGGUAUACUAGUUUACUUAACAACUGAAUUUUGAAAAAAACUGAUGCAUUACAAAAGUCUGAUUUUACUAAAAUCAUCUUAACGAUAAAAACCAGGAUGAUGUAUACCAAGUAUUAUAUAUCACUGGAAAGGUUAUUAAAUUUUCUAUGUGCAUGUAAAAAAAUUUAAGUGAUAAAUUAAAACAGAUAAUAGUGGUGUUAAUUCUAAAAACACCAAAAAAACAGAUGCUAACACAUUACAUGUAAAAUUGGACAUUUUUAGGGUAUAAAAAUGUCUGUAUCUUUAUUUUGUGUAAUGAUAUCCCAAAAAAUUUUUGGGCACAUUUGCUUUACAAUAAGUCCUUUGUAAAAACACAAAAAAUAAUAGAAAAUGCAAUAUAUUUUUUGAAAUAGCCUGCAUUACAUAUAUUUUUGAAAAAUUGGCCCAUUUACUGUGCAGCAGGCAACAAGCCAUGAGGGACCCAUAUGGGUCCCAUUUGGGCAACCCGAUAAAUAUUAGCAUGCCUGAGCAGGUGCGUGAAAUUAAUUUGUUACGUUUUUAUAUUGGUUUUAAUUUUUAUUAUUUAAAUAUAAAAAUGUGUUUUUAGACUAUAAAUUCAGAAAUAAUUUAUAAAAAUCAGUUUUUGAUGAAAAAAUUUAUUUCGAGCAUGUGCAGACGUGAUUUCCGCUGCCGCUUAAAAUCAAAUUGUGUAUUGAAAUGUUAAAUUGUAAAAUUGUACAUGAAAAAAAUAUUUCUUUUCGAUUCCGAGCAUUUAACCACGAUUUCGUAUAACGACUUUUCAUAUUAUAUCCUAACAUGUUUAUUGUGUGUGUAGGUAAGCUGUAAACGCUGUUUAGUUUUUGGUUUUGCCUUUGUCAUGUAAUUUCCCAAUAGUCGUUUAAUUUGCGACAUUUUCUAGAAUUUACGCCCUGACUCUUAGGCACUUUAGGUGACCUAUGCAUGUGUAUAGUUGUUAUUGUUGAAUUACUUAACUGUGACGGAGUCAACACUAACAUUUUAAAAAUAUUGUUUCUAUCUAGACUAAAUUUUAAGAGAUCUCUUUUUAAAGGGACACCAUCAUUUGAAAUCCAGUGUCCCCCCCUAGCCUUAGAAGUCCCUUCCAUUUUGUACCAACAUUUCAUUCAUAAGCAUUUUAAAAUAUUAAAUACAAAUACUUAUUUUUACAAAUUCAAGUAUUUUUUCCAAGUACCAACCAAGCCCUCUAGCUGUUGCACAGGCAUGAGUAUCGGACCUGAGAAGAAAAAAUAUGACCUGAUAGAUAAUUAAACCUGUGUUCAUCUUAAAAAAUUCGAAAACCAAAAAAAAUGUAAAUUAUGACCCCCUUUAAAAACAUACUAUAAGUUAAGAGAAGGCUGGAAACUCUAGAUUCGAGCCUACGAGCAAGGGAUUCACUACCCAGGCCGUUGUGAAAACAAUUGUCCAGACAAUUAAAAAAUCUUUUAUCAUUAUUUCACAUUUGUAUUAAGCUUCCAAAUGAGACCAACUCCAAGUCUCUAGCCCUUCCUGUUCAUGAAAUAAUCCCAUCAGGAAACGAGCGCAUUCGUGCUAAAAAUCCUUGGUAGAAAAAAUUGCGGCACAACAAUUCGGUACGUAAACAUAGACUAAUACAUGUUUGUCAGCCGUGUACAGGUCAUAAUCAUAUUGUCACUUGGUGCAAUAACUCACUUAAUGUAUAUGUAUUUUUUAACUACUUAUUAAUGUAUUUUCAUUUUAUUGUCAAUAGGCCAUCAAAAAGGCUGUAUGAAUCGGAUAGUGACACUGAUGAGAAUGAGACAGACACAGAGAGUAGGCCAUCACAAGUUAUUGACAAAGCAACAACGCCAAACAGGCACAAAGCCUGCUUUCACCUCCGCCUUGCUUAUCUGCACAGGCAUUGCGAGAGGCCAGAAGUGAUGUGCAAAGACUGCUUCUCUAAUACAAGGUGCUUCUGAUACGCCCUCCCGUGGGCAGAUUAUUGGGCCCACUGCUGUUACACAGAUUCUCCGAGUCUUGGAGACAAUGCGGGAGGAGAAUCGUGAAAUUAAGAGGAUGAUGUAGCAAUUGAUGUCAAGGUCAGCAGCAGAUGACCAACCGCUGCAGCUUCCUGAAGAUAUCUCAUUCCCUAUUCGUUCUCCUUAGCAGAUGGAAACAUUCGAUAGUUUUCUGGGAGAUCAGACAAAGCUGUCAUCUGUGGUGCGGUUCCUCUCAAUGUUUGGUGGGCAGUUGUGCGGGAAACUGUUGACCGCUAGAUGAUAGAAACCAUGUCAAAUGAACUGGCAAGAAUGUUCAAUAUGAAGGAGGCUGAAAGGGAAGAAAACAUUUGGGGGCCUCUAGAUACUUAAUGUAUUGUAUAAAUGUGUCCAAAGGAACUUGCCGACAAAGAA